rnacentral:rRNA from 1 species
ACUACGGGGGGCUGCAGUGGGGAAUAUUGCACAAUGGGCGCAAGCCUGAUGCAGCCAUGCCGCGUGUGUGAAGAAGGCCUUCGGGUUGUAAAGCACUUUCAGCGGGGAGGAAGGCGGUGAGGUUAAUAACCUCAUCGAUUGACGUUACCCGAAGAAGAAGCACCGGCUAACUCCGUGCCAGCAGCCGCGGUAAUACGGAGGGUGCAAGCGUUAAUCGGAAUUACUGGGCGUAAAGCGCACGCAGGCGGUCUGUCAAGUCGGAUGUGAAAUCCCCGGGCUCAACCUGGGAACUGCAUUCGAAACUGGCAGGCUAGAGUCUUGUAGAGGGGGGUAGAAUUCCAGGUGUAGCGGUGAAAUGCGUAGAGAUCUGGAGGAAUACCGGUGGCGAAGGCGGCCCCCUGGACAAAGACUGACGCUCAGGUGCGAAAGCGUGGGGAGCAAACAGGAUUAGAUACCCUAGUAGUC